CGACCGAGUCAGGCGAGGCACCGGUAUAUGUGCG
rnacentral:rRNA from 1 species